GGGUCGAUGGCGUAGCUGGUUAUCGCAUCUGUCUAACAUAUGUGGUUUGUAUGAUGUGCACAGAAGGUCCUCAGUUCGAACCUGGGUCGACUCA